rnacentral:lncRNA from 1 species
UCCUCUUCCUCUUCCCUAUUUCUCCUACGUUCUUCUCCACCUCAAGAGAGUUGUGAGAUCUAAGAGGAAGCUACUUUAGCCAUCAAAGAGGAGUCUUCUGCAAGAAAGCUAACACUCUGAUGAAGAUAUCUACCUUUGAUCGGAAUGAGUCCUCGUAUGGAUAUCUGUGGAGGUCGGGCAUGUGCGUGGCUAGAGAAACCAUUUAGAUCCACGAUCAUCGACUAUGGUGUAGUAUGACCCACGCAAAGGUAUUGAGAUUUGAUCUCAAUAUUACUUAUUUUUAUUUUUAGAUUAUAUGCAUAUCUUCGAUUUGGGCAUGGGU